GAGAGGAGGGGGAGGGAAGGAGAGGAGAAGGAGCGUCUCUCUCUAGGGCUCUACUCCCCUCUCAGAAGCCGUGACCCAGCAAAAGGCUGGGUCUUUCUCUGCGGAGGAUGAAGAAUUCCUCGUUGCGUGGGACAUAUGAUUCUGUCAUCUAUGGUUACAGAAGCCACCUGAACCCCUAGCCAUCUGUUAAAUUCUCAUGCUUUUGAACUUAGAUCUUCUCCCAAACUCUUGGCUCUGCCCCCUUAUCUGCCCACCUCGGGCUCAGAAUAGGCAGAGCUGGUUUGCUUCCAGCGCUGUGGUAACAUCUUGGUCACAAAAGGCUGGGGAAGUUUUCCCAUCCCUCCUUUCGGGGCUUUCUAGCUCUGCCCCACACCCUCUUCUCCAUCGCUCCCUGCUGUCUUCAAUUUCUCCUGCUGCUCACCUCCACCCGGUCUGCUGAAUGCCCGCCCUUCUGGUCCGGUUUUCCUAAAGUGCCUGCCAACCCAUGAGGGCCUCAGCUGUGUCUCGUGUGAAUGAAGCAGUUGUCAAUUCUUGGAUACUACGAGGAGAAAAAGGCAGCUGGGACACAUCCCAUAGCUGGCUUGGGGCUCAGCCCUCCUGCCUGUCUCAGAGGUGUUCUAACCUUCUGCUCUCUCACUGCCACGUUGCCAUUCCUGCAGUGAGAUUGGUGGCCCUUGAAAGUUCUGGAUGAGUUCUGAGGAAAAAUGGCUUGAUUCCACCAUCAGUCUAUCUUCUUCGUGUCCAGAGAGAGGAGCAAAGAGAGCACCGGAAUUUCCAUUCUUUUCCCAUCCUGCUUACAAGACAGGCCAGUUCUACUGCCGGAGCUCAAGAGAAACAAACGGCAGGAAAGGGAGUGGAUGGUAAAGCCAGUCGUGGGGGAUAGGCAGGCAGCAAGAUGCGCCUCCCUGUAGGUGGAUACCUAUUUGCUGCUAAUGUCACUGUGUGUGACAACUCCUCUUGGCUUCCUGUUCUGACCUCAUAUUUCCAGUCAGUGAGUCUGACAGAAGCAGACUCUAAUGGGGAAGAGCUUUUAGGAAGAAUAUGAAGGAAAUCUGCUAACUCACAAUGUGAGGCUGAUGGGACUCAGGUGGGGCGGGGGUUGGGGGGAUGUUGUUCUAAGCAUCUGAUUACUAGAGCCCAACAAAAGAGGAAAGGUUAGAGGAAGUAGCCAGGCAAGAGGUGGCAAGAAUCUUCCCCCUCCCCCACUUCUUCUUGCAGUCUGACAGAUAACCCUUGGUCCAACCACAUUGGUGUUCUCAAGAACAAACAAGGCACCAAAGGACCACGAAAAGAGGCAUGUGGGUUGGAGAGAUGACUCAGCAGUUAAGCGCGCUGGCCAGUUGUUCUUCCAGAGGUCCUGAGUUCAAUUCCCAGCACCCACAUGGCGGCUCACGACUGUCUAACUCCGUCAUACCAUACACCGAUUUCAAGGCCAGCCUGCUCUACAGAGCAAGUUCUAGAACAGCUAGAGCUACACAGAGAGAUCCUGUCUUCAAAACCAACAAAAAUGAGGUGUGUGCCUUGGCUGUUGGCUUCUGUCCACUUACAGAAUCAUCCUCUUCCCUCGAAGCAUGUGUGACUGUUGUGUUAAAGGAGCUGUGGUACACGGAGUUCCCAGGAACCACACAAUAGGGUCAUUUCUUAUCGAGCUGUUUCUGAGCCAAACAAAAAAAAACACAGCCAAGGGAGAAAGAACGCAGCUUUUAGAAUCCCUCUCUGGACAUAGCAAAGCAUUACAGAGGCUCAUCUUUUGCAUUGACAUUCUGGAUAAUACCAGCUCCUGGGCAGGUUUUCUUUUUAAAGCCUAUAUCUGUAUACUUUAAAUACAUAUAGGUUUAAACAUCUAAAAUAUAGGAUAUGUAUAUUAAUGUAUUUUUAAAUUCUAAAAAGAAUAUACGAGCCAAAGGAGAACAGGGGACCAGGCAGGGUGAGGGCAUGUGUACUGUGUUUCAGACAAGACAAGACAAUGCGUGUUUACGUCCACACUCUAGUGUGUAUUUGCAUGUGUUUGCAUGUAUUUGCGUAUUGUUUACAUACAGGCAGAAAUAGUCACUUUCCAGAAUGAACUACGACUUCACAGGUACCAUACAGAAUAUGAUAUCACGCACACAUGGGUAAGAUAAAAUGUGAAGAAGGGGGUGAAAGAGAGGAAGGAGGAGGAGGUAUAGAUUGCCCUGCACUUAGUCUGAGAUGUGAAAAGCACUACAGGGAGAACUGACCAAUUAAAUAAACCCACCCACUUGUGGAUGGAAGGGAAUGUUGGGAGGGUAACAGCUUUCCUCUGGUUUGUGGAGUCACCACAGACACAUUCAAAAUUCCAAAAGGUUUUUUUUGUUGUUGUUUUGGGGCUUUUUGGGUUUUGUUUUUUUGAGAUAAGGUCUCACUAUGUAGCUCUGGCAGACCUGGGACUUGCUCUAUUCCUCGAACUCACUAGAAAGCUACUUGCCUCUGCCCUCUGAGUGCUUGAGCCUAACACAAAGACUUUUUUUUUUUUCAAAUGUAGAUAGACAACUCAAUUCUAGCGUGGAUGAGACUCCAAAUGGUUGAGAAGAGGAGCCAGCUCAUUCUUUAAAGAAAACAAGAUAUAAGAACUUGCCUUCUCAUAGGUCCUAUAGCUACGAAACCAAAUCAAAGUGGAGCUGGCACACAGGCAAUAGUGAGAUCAAUGGAAGGAAAAGUCAAAUAGGUCUCCCAGUCCAAUAGGUGAGCAGGUUAGUGCUGAAAUCCAGGUACAGUGGACUAUCACAAGUUGUCCUCUGGCCUGCACACACACCCACAACAUGUGCGGCCCCUCCCCCCAAUAACUAAUUUCAACAACUGUGAAAGGAAGAAUUCUCCAGCUAGGAAACUGAACUCCCAUUUCAUAGCUACGAAAAAGAAGUCAGCGCCAUACAUAUUAGAGGCCAAGAGUAAAGCACUAUUGGGCAAUGAGGAGGCUCGCUUCCGGAUGAAUUUUGUAGAUGAGAUACAGAAAGAAUCUAUUCCUAAGGAAGCUGACACCACAAUUAAGAGAGGAAGGCCUGCUGGUUUUUGCAAUUCAUAUCGUGACCGGAGGCCCCCCCCAUCAAUAAUACAUAAACAAAUUGUUAAUAGACAACUGUUAUGAUUUGGAUCUUAAAUGUCCUCCCUGAGGUCAUGUGAUGAGGGCUUGCUUGUUUGUGGGUUGGGAAAUGGUAGACCUUUUAGGAUUUGUCAGUGAUUGGUAGGAGCUAGGAGCGUGCUCUUGACCCCAGAGGGCCCCAUUGCUCCUUCCUUCCUCUUACCCAGGAGGUGAGCACCUUGCUUUUUUCUGCUACACACUCACCCUCACAAAUCAAAGCAGCAGCCGGGCCUCGGGCCUCGAAGGCCUGCAGGGAAGCCUGUGGAGAUGGGUCUGUCAGCUACGGAAACCUAACCUAGCAACCCGCAUAAAGAUGAGUAAAAAGGCCCAGUAACGGUGGCGCACGCCUUUGAUCCCAGUGCUUGGAGGCAGAGGGUGGCAGAUCUCUAGAUUAGAGGCCAGCCUAGUCUACGGUAGAGCGAGUUCCAGAACUGACAAGGCUACACAGAGAAACCCUGUCUUGAAAAACCAAAAGAGCAAAGAACUUCAGAGUAAAAUCAGGACCCUGGAUGAAACCCAGCACCAGAUCCUUUUACAAAGGACCCCAUCAUGUUGGUUAUAAGGAGCAGGCAUAUAAACAUCUAGAUCUGUAACCCAGUGACAGGGAAACUGGUUUCCAGGAACAACCCAAAUACCUACUAAGAAUGGUACUGGACACUUUGUGGUAUAUUCGUUCAUGAGCCAGUGAUGGAAGUGGAAUGAACAAGACACGGGGGGGGGGGACAGGUAUUACCAUGGGGUGACCAUGACAAGCAGUCAUGGAACAAUACCUACAGGCACAGAUAGGACCCCAUUCAUUCAAACUUCAAAAGCAGACAACCCCAAAGUACGCCAUGCAGAGGGCCCCCGUGCAGGUGGGAAAGCAUGGGGAAGCUGGGAGAGGGUUGGGUUGUCCCACAGGGUGAUGAUAGAUUCCAGACCCUCUAACUUGUCCCCUCAGGAAUCAGGACACGCCCUCUGUCCUUGGCAGGAACCUGCUGUGAAGGUUCAGUGCACAGGCCUGUGGAGGGGAGGAGUGGAGAGAAGUAAGCCCCGCCCCUUCCAAAACUAGGCUCAGGCUAAGCCAGACUAAAUCACAUGAUGUGAGACUUCCUGCCAGCCCCCUCCCCUCCCCCUCCCCCUCCCCCAUCCCUACCCUCAAACCUAUGAAAGUCAGAAAAUCUCCUUUGGUCAGAGGAUUUCUCUGAAUGCUCCCCUUCUUUGGCGCCCCCCCCCCAUCACUAGCAACGAUUUCCCUGACUCAUUUUGAACCAUCCCGUCUAAUGGAACUUCUCUCUGGGCUCUCCUAAUGCUUUUCCUGCACCUCAAGGCCAGAUCAUAGCACCCCAUGGUUACAAGGCUCUUCUCUCCUCAUCCCAUUCUGAUGGGCGAUUUGGUGUUAACUUCAUUUUCCACGAACCGACCGAACAGGAGCUCUUUGUUCUAACAAGACAGUGGUACCUCCGAAGGGUGUGUGUGUGUGAUGGGAACUGGUACUCAGACAGUCAUAUGGUGGUGCUUUUCCUUGUCUGCGCGUGCGUGCAUGCAAGCGCACCGGUGCACACACAAUGUGUGCAUAUUUGUAUGAGGCAGGGUCUCACUAUGUAGCCCUGGCUGGCCUCAAACUCAGAGAUCUGUCUCUUGCUCCCUAGUGCUGAGAGUAAAGGCCUGUGCCAAACCCAGCCUAAAUGGUCUGCAUAUAGGCUACAGAUAGUCUAUUCAUUUCUAUAUCACGCAAAGGGGCUGCCUCGGGUCUUUCGUAUCUCUAGAACUUGACUGGAUUCUGGUCUGUGCAGACAGCUGGUCCCAUUUUUCCUUUAACUCUCCCUCUCUCAUUCUCAGCCCCCAAGAGACUCCACCAGUAUUCCUGCUGGGAUUGGGACCUGGAGACCCUUCUGUUCCCACUGUAUCUUUGCCUCUAAGGUGCCGUUAUCCCCGGAGGACUGCCCACCCCUCCCCCACCCCCAAAGGCCCUGACAUGAUUUAUUUAUCAUAUUGAUGCGAGUACACUGUAGCUGUCUUCAGACACACCAGAAGAGGGCAUCAGAUCCCAUCACGGGCAAUUGUGAGCCACCAUGUGAUUGCCGGGAAUUGAACUCAGGACCUCUGGAAGAGCAGUCGGGGCUCUUAACCGCUGAGCCAUCCCUCCGGCCCGAGUUUUGCUUUCAUUAUUAGGACAUUUCAUUACAGCAGUAAGUUAAAGAGUCAACCUCUGCACCCCUUGAACUGCCUGCCUUGGCUGGGCACGGGCAGUGGGUUGUUUUUAAGGUGGAAACGCCUGCUAUUUCGGAGUUGAAGUUACCUCGGCCCCAAGCUUCUGUGCUCCCUAGGAGCAGGGAGGAGGAGGAGGAGGAUGGUAGAAACUUCACCUGGAACUGUGGCAGUCUCUUUUGCUCUGCCAGAGUGUGCCUGUGCUCGUGAACCACACUAGACCAUAUACAACCUUGGUUAACUGUAAGGGGACACAGCUCCCAUAAAUGCAUCAUCCAUACCGGGGUAGAACUCUGUAGUGAUGUAGCUGUUUCGGGGGCGGGGGUGCAGUGUUCAGCAUUUACCAUCCUGUAAACAACCUCUCACCUCUGCACCGUAUAUAAAACCCGAUAAAUUCAUUCGCCAAGGUGGGCUUUUGGUAGAACCAGUAGUCACUGGUGCCGUCUGAGGUAAACAGGCCUUUGUUCGCGUCUCCUGUUGGGAGCUAUGCCCUUAAAAACCCUCCAUUAUUGAUGUUUAAAAUAUUAUAGUUAGAGUUAAGUAUGACUGGGUUCAUGGAAAAUCCCCAGCCAGCUGCAGAAGGCAAAUACAAAUCUGGUGGCAGGAUGCCUAACGAUAUGACAAACUUGGGACCUCUCUGAGAAACCAACGUCCUGUUGACAUCAGCUGAUUGCCUGACCACAAGAGCACAGUGUCCUUGGCUUGCGUAAAUAUUUCCUGCUUCCCUGCUCCCUUUGUUACCCCUGCUAUGGUAUAAAUUCAGCCUUGGGAAAAAGUAAAAUGUGUCCCCUUGAUCAGA